rnacentral:pre_miRNA from 2 species
GUAUAGGGCAAUCUGUCUUUAAGCAGGGAUAAAUUACUCAAAAAAAAAAAUCCUAUUUUUCCCUUCAAGUCAAGCAUCUUGG